AUAGAUGCAGUGUUUUUAUAUGCUUAUAGUGAUGUAUUUUGUAUGUUUAUUCACUUAUUUUCCUUCUAGAGCUUGAAGGAGCCUGAUACUGAAAUUACCCUGAAGUGAAAAUAUUGAAAACAAUAUGCAAUAUGUGUGUGUAUAUAUAUAUAUAUAUAUAUAUACACACACACAAAGAAUUGUUGUAACAAAGUGAUAUCAUCAGAUUAAAAACAUAUCAAAUAAAAUGGCGUUGCUACUCUAAUUUCAGCACUAUAGUGUUCACAAAAUCAGCUUCAAACUUAGAGUAAGACUGUGCUAUCUAUCGUUCAAGCUGUUUGUUCUGUAACUUUCAAGAUAAAGCAGAGAUCACUUUUUUUUUCUAGUCUUAUGGACUCUUAGUUGAGCAAAUCACAGUCCAAGACGAACUUGGACUUGAUUGGGAGUAAAAGCAGCUGCAAGGUUCACAGAUAUCAUACAAUUUCAAUUAUAGUCUACAUUUCCACUCAUUACUGUUUAUUUUUACUGUUGUAUCAGUAAUGAGUAGCCUAGCUAGAAAGACUUACUUGCCAGCUAGAACCACGUGAAGAUUUGCACUUGGAAUUUGGUCACUAAAUAGAAUAUAAUUACUUUUUAUCUCUUUCUUUUGUGCAGUUCCAUGAAAUUCUAAACAGCUUGCCUCCCAUAAGGGUGAGCUUCAAUGGAAGCUUCCUGAUUGCUUGCAAAGACACAGAUUGUCUAAAUCUUUCUGUUGCAGCAGUAUCCCUUCCCUUCAACAACGGACCUCCCGCCAGCCUGACUUCUAUGAUUCUGCCAUUCUAACUUCGUAUGCCAGUUCUUCUGUUGGAGCAAAGGAAUUGGGGGAAGAAAAGCAUCUCAGUUAAAACUGGGAUACCCUCAGAAGCUUCAUUUCCAAGACUUUUAUCUGAUGAGCACCCGGAUGCCAACAGCUUGCCUGGUGCUCUGUGGCCCUGAGGGAAGCACGCUGGAUGCACCUGUGUCAAGCACUCUGGGAUUUAGUGGUGGUGAGUAGCUGGUACUGAUCUUCUCACUUCUGGAUAAAAUGUUUGAUUACUCAAAUCAGUGGGCAUUACUCCUUCGACUUUGAUAAGAGCCAGUCUGUAUCUGCAU
rnacentral:lncRNA from 1 species